rnacentral:tRNA from 1 species
CAGAAAGUAGUUUAAUUAAAACCCUGCCUUUGGGAGGCAGAAUUCCACUCCCUGGCUCUCUGA